rfam:Trichomonas vaginalis G3, whole genome shotgun sequence.
GUAGUCUGCCAUACGCAGGAAGACCCGCUGAACUGAAGCAUCUCAUUAAGCGGAGGAAAAGAAACUAACUAGGAUUCCCUUAGUAAAGGCGAUCGAAAAGGGAACAGCCCAACGUCUUAAUCCCGCAAGGGAAAUGUAGUCGGUUCACCUAUUGCACUGGUCUAAGUCAGAUGGAAUGCUGCGCGAUUCAGAGUAAAAGCCUCGUAUGACCAACCGCAAGCUUACGAUGGACCGGGGAGAGUCGGAUACUUUGAGAGUAGUGUCUUAAGGGGGUGGUAUGUCCCAUCCAAGGCUAAAUAACGUGAGGAGACCGAUAGAUUACAAGUAGUGUGAACGAAAGAUGAAAAGAACUCUAAAACAGAGGGUGAAAAGUUCCUGAACUUGCUUAGGGUUAAGGCUAUUUAUAGUACCCGUCUUGAAACACGGAUUAGGGAGUUUAUCUGUAGUGCGAGUCUUUGCACGUUAACUGUAAAGGCGUAGAGAAAGCAACUGGCGUUUGCAUGGCUACUGAGCAUUACUGAUAGGACCCGAAAGGUGGUGAACUUUGCCUGCACAGGUUGAAGUCAGGGGAAACUCUGAUGGAGGACCGUACGGGUUAUUGAUGUGCAAAAUCAUUUUUCUGAUGUAGGUAAAGGUGCGAAAGACUGGUCGAACCACCUAAUAGCUGGUUUCCUCCGAA